UCAUUUAAAGAAAGCGUAAUAGCUCACUGGUCGAGUCGGCCUGCGCGGAAGAUGUAACGGGGCUAAACCAUGCACCGAAGCUGCGGCAGCGACACUAUGUGUUGUUGGGUAGGGGAGCGUUCUGUAAGCCUGCGAAGGUGACCUGUGAGGGUUGCUGGAGGUAUCAGAAGUGCGAAUGCUGACAUAAGUAACGAUAAAGCGGGUGAAAAGCCCGCUCGCCGGAAGACCAAGGGUUCCUGUCCAACGUUAAUCGGGGCAGGGUGAGUCGACCCCUAAGGCGAGGCCGAAAGGCGUAGUCGAUGGGAAACAGGUUAAUAUUCCUGUACUUGGUGUUACUGCGAAGGGGGGACGGAGAAGGCUAUGUUAGCCGGGCGACGGUUGUCCCGGUUUAAGCAUGUAGGCUGGUUAUCCAGGCAAAUCCGGAUAAUCAAGGCUGAGGUGUGAUGACGAGGCACUACGGUGCUGAAGUAACAAAUGCCCUGCUUCCAGGAAAAGCCUCUAAGCAUCAGGUAACAUCAAAUCGUACCCCAAACCGACACAGGUGGUCAGGUAGAGAAUACCAAGGCGCUUGAGAGAACUCGGGUGAAGGAACUAGGCAAAAUGGUGCCGUAACUUCGGGAGAAGGCACGCUGGUGUGUAGGUGAAGUCCCUGCGGAUGGAGCUGAGACCAGUCGAAGAUACCAGCUGGCUGCAACUGUUUAUUAAAAACACAGCACUGUGCAAACACGAAAGUGGACGUAUACGGUGUGACGCCUGCCCGGUGCCGGAAGGUUAAUUGAUGGGGUUAUCCGUAAGGAGAAGCUCUUGAUCGAAGCCCCGGUAAACGGCGGCCGUAACUAUAACGGUCCUAAGGUAGCGAAAUUCCUUGUCGGGUAAGUUCCGACCUGCACGAAUGGCGUAAUGAUGGCCAGGCUGUCUCCACCCGAGACUCAGUGAAAUUGAACUCGCUGUGAAGAUGCAGUGUACCCGCGGCAAGACGGAAAGACCCCGUGAACCUUUACUAUAGCUUGACACUGAACAUUGAGCCUUGAUGUGUAGGAUAGGUGGGAGGCUUUGAAGCGUGGACGCCAGUCUGCGUGGAGCCAACCUUGAAAUACCACCCUUUAAUGUUUGAUGUUCUAACGUUGGCCCCUGACCGGGGUUGCGGACAGUGUCUGGUGGGUAGUUUGACUGGGGCGGUCUCCUCCCAAAGCGUAACGGAGGAGCACGAAGGUUAGCUAAUCCUGGUCGGACAUCAGGAGGUUAGUGCAAUGGCAUAAGCUAGCUUGACUGCGAGCGUGACGGCGCGAGCAGGUGCGAAAGCAGGUCAUAGUGAUCCGGUGGUUCUGAAUGGAAGGGCCAUCGCUCAACGGAUAAAAGGUACUCCGGGGAUAACAGGCUGAUACCGCCCAAGAGUUCAUAUCGACGGCGGUGUUUGGCACCUCGAUGUCGGCUCAUCACAUCCUGGGGCUGAAGUAGGUCCCAAGGGUAUGGCUGUUCGCCAUUUAAAGUGGUACGCGAGCUGGGUUUAGAACGUCGUGAGACAGUUCGGUCCCUAUCUGCCGUGGGCGCUGGAGAAUUGAGGGGGGCUGCUCCUAGUACGAGAGGACCGGAGUGGACGCAUCACUGGUGUUCGGGUUGUCAUGCCAAUGGCACUGCCCGGUAGCUAAAUGCGGAAGAGAUAAGUGCUGAAAGCAUCUAAGCACGAAACUUGCCCCGAGAUGAGUUCU
rnacentral:rRNA from 1 species